ACCUGUGAGGCAUCCAUUGUGAACAAAAAAAUCAUCAUUAACAUCGGGACUGUGUGGUGCCUGGCCCAUAGCUGCUAGGAUACCUGAUUUGUAAGCAAGAGAACAUUCAGAAGCUAGCCCUCAACCGGAUGGGAGCUCUCUCCAAAGCGCCACCAUGUUCUCAGCAGAGUCUGAAUCUACUAUGAAGCUGCGGUCAAAGACCAUUGAGCCAGGUGUCUGAAAACCUUCAGCAGUGGUAGCAGUGACAGUGAUGUUAGCAGUAGGAGCAGGAGUACUCGUGACCCAACUUAACAAUGGGAACAUCUGCCAUUAAAAUUUUACCGGAAUUUGAACUUGAGGAAACUAUUUGAGGAACCCCACCCAAGGAGGGAGCCAUUUGUGCCUGUAUUGUAUUUAGAUGACAAGAUCUCGACUUUCCCAUCAGAUCCUCAUGAGUUUUGGGAGCAUUGCAAAAGGGUUUGGAUAUUUUUGCAUGUGGCAAGGAUGUGAACUAUUGUGCCCGGAGGGCAACUGGGAUUUUCCAAAGACAGUCACAAUGGUAUCUCCAUCCCACAAACUCUUCUGCAUUGGGAACUCGCCACUCCCUCAUCAAGGGAUGAAGAU